rnacentral:rRNA from 1 species
GAUCCUGGCUCAGAAUGAACGCUGGCGGCAUGGAUUAGGCAUGCAAGUCGAACGUACUCCCUUCGGGGAGAAAGUGGCGAAAGGGUGAGUAACACGUGAGCAACCUGCCUCCGGAUCCGGAAUAAUCCAGGGAAACUUGGUCUAAAACCGGAUGAAGACAUUGGUCCGCAUGGUCUAAUGUUAAAAUAUUUAUAGUCCGGAGAGGGGCUCGCGGCCCAUUAGCUUGUUGGCGGGGUAAUGGCCCACCAAGGCUACGACGGGUAGGUGGUCUGAGAGGAUGGUCACCCACACUGGGACUGAGACACUGCCCAGACUCCUACGGGAGGCUGCAGUCGAGAAUCUUCCGCAAUGGGCGCAAAGCCUGACGGAGCGAUGCCGCGUGAGGGAUGAAGGCCUUCGGGUUGUAAACCUCUGUCAUCCGGGACGAAAACAAUGACGGUACCGGAAAAGGAAGCCACGGCUAACCACGUGCCAGCCGCUGC